rnacentral:rRNA from 1 species
GACGAACGCUGGCGGCGUGCUUAACACAUGCAAGUCGAGCGGUAAGGCCCUUUCGGGGGUACACGAGCGGCGAACGGGUGAGUAACACGUGGGUGACCUGCCCUCAGCUCUGGGAUAAGCCUGGGAAACCGGGUCUAAUACCGGAUAUGACUCCAUGACGCAUGUUGUGGGGUGAAAGCCUUGUGCGGCUGAGGAUGGGCCCGCGGCCUAUCAGCUUGUUGGUGGGGUGAUGGCCUACCAAGGCGACGACGGGUAGCCGGCCUGAGAGGGCGACCGGCCACACUGGGACUGAGACACGGCCCAGACUCCUACGGGAGGCAGCAGUGGGGAAUCUUGCGCAAUGGGCGAAAGCCUGACGCAGCGACGCCGCGUGAGGGAUGACGGCU